rnacentral:rRNA from 1 species
GACGAACGCUGGCGGCGUGCUUAACACAUGCAAGUCGAACGGAAAGACCCUGCUUUUGUGGGGUGCUCGAGUGGCGAACGGGUGAGUAACACGUGAGUAACCUGCCCUUGACUUUGGGAUAACUUCAGGAAACUGGGGCUAAUACCGGAUAGGAGCUCCUGCUGCAUGGUGGGGGUUGGAAAGUUUCGGCGGUUGGGGAUGGACUCGCGGCUUAUCAGCUUGUUGGUGGGGUAGUGGCUUACCAAGGCUUUGACGGGUAGCCGGCCUGAGAGGGUGACCGGCCACAAUGGGACUGAGAUACGGACCAGACUCCUACGGGAGGCAGCAGUGGAGAAUAUUGCACAGUGGGCGGGAGCCUGAUGCAGCAACGCCGCGUGCGGGAUGACGGCCUUCGGGUUGUAAACCGCUUUCGCCUGUGACGAAGCGUGAGUGACGGUAAUGGGUAAAGAAGCACCGGCUAACUACGUG